GUAAUUGGAAUGAGUAGAAUUUAAAUCCCUUUUCGAGUAUCAAUUGGAGGGCAAGUCUGGUGCCAGCAGCCGCGGUAAUUCCAGCUCCAAUAGCGUAUAUUAAAGUUGUUGCGGUUAAAAAGCUCGUAGUUGGAUUUCUGCCGAGGACGACCGGUCCGCCCUCUGGGUGCGUAUCUGGCUCGGCCUGGGCAUCUUCUUGGAGAACGUAUCUGCACUUGACUGUGUGGUGCGGUAUCCAGGGCUUUUACUUUGAGGAAAUUAGAGUGUUUCAAGCAGGCUCACGCCUUGAAUACAUUAGCAUGGAAUAAUAAGAUAGGACCUCGGUUCUAUUUUGUUGGUUUCUAGAGCUGAGGUAAUGAUUAAUAGGGAUAGUUGGGGGUAUUCGUAUUCAAUUGUCAGAGGUGAAAUUCUUGGAUUUAUGGAAGACGAACUACUGCGAAAGCAUUUACCAAGGAUGUUUUCAUUAAUCAAGAACGAAAGUUAGGGGAUCGAAGAUGAUUAGAUACCAUCGUAGUCUUAACCAUAAACUAUGCCGACUAGGGAUUGGUGGACGUUCGUAAUGACUCCAUCAGCACCUUAU
rnacentral:rRNA from 1 species